AGCUCUGUGUCUUUCCUGCUGC
rnacentral:miRNA from 1 species